rnacentral:rRNA from 1 species
UNUGACUUGAGUGCAGAAGGGGAGAGUGGAAUUCCAUGUGUAGCGGUGAAAUGCGUAGAUAUAUGGAGGANCACCAGUGGCGAAAGCGGCUCUCUGGUCUGUCACUGACGCUGAGGCUCGAAAGCGUGGGUAGCGAACAGGAUUAGAUACCCUGGUAGUNCACGCCGUAAACGAUGAGUGCUAGGUGUUAGGCCCUUUCCGGGGCUUAGUGCCGGAGCUAACGCAAUAAGCACUCCGCCUGGGGAGUACGACCGCAAGGUUGAAACUCAAAGGAAUUGACGGGGGCCCGCACAAGCGGUGGAGCAUGUGGUUUAAUUCGAAGCAACGCGAAGAACCUUACCAGGUCUUGACAUCCCGAUGCUAUUCUUAGAGAUAGGAAGUUACUUCGGUACAUCGGAGACAGGUGGUGCAUGGUUGUCGUCAGCUCGUGUCGUGAGAUGUUGGGUUAAGUCCCGCAACGAGCGCAACCCUUAUUGUUAGUUGCCAUCAUUAAGUUGGGCACUCUAGCGAGACUGCCGGUAAUAAACCGGAGGAAGGUGGGGAUGACGUCAAAUCAUCAUGCCCCUUAUGACCUGGGCUACACACGUGCUACAAUGGUCGGUACAACGAGUUGCGAGCCGGUGACGGCAAGCUAAUCUCUGAAAGCCGAUCUCAGUUCGGAUUGGAGGCUGCAACUCGCCUCCAUGAAGUCGGAAUCGCUAGUAAUCGCGGAUCAGCACGCCGCGGUGAAUACGUUCCCGGGCCUUGUACACACCGCCCGUCACACCACGAGAGUUUGUAACACCCGAAGUC